GUUUAACACCUCUGUUGCGAGGAAUAAGCAAGUGUUUAGAGUCGCAUGUGAAAAUAUAAGUGUUAUGAUUUUCAGUUGUUUGAUUCGAAAAAAAAAUAUAUUUCACUUAUUGAUCACGAACUGUUUUUAAUGGAGAAUGUUUCGACCCUAGAUUAUAUUAAACACUUGUAGUAACAAGUUUCGUGAAUCCGCGCACCUGUUUGAAGGGAACAGCCAAAACAAUGCUGUCUGCUUGCCAACAGAAGUAGGCACGGUCUGCGAUGGUAGAGAAAGGGUGUCUUAAGCCUCUCAAAUGACGAUCUCCGUUAUUCGCAGGGAUAUGACAUCGGAAGAAAAUACAGAAUGUAGUCAUGAAUUUAAUUUCUAUUUGGAUAGACAGUUACAGAACAAAUUGAUUGAACAAGCUGAAAUUCUUCAAGCGGAUGAACUCUACUCUCAGUUCAACAUCAGUAAUACGGAUUCAAAGAAUGUGAAUUCCAAAGUUCUUGGGAAGAAUGAAGAUAUUCAAGGAUGGUUUGGCGAACCCAAAAUUGUGCUACGCAAACCUGAGAAAGAAAGUGUUAAACAAUCUCAGCCUUCAUGGCGUGAUUACAGAAACAAACAGGUUCCUACUCAGGAUCCCUUUGUUUUUAAACACUAUGGGGAUAUCCGAGCUUACAUUGAACAGUACCGCAGGGACCAUACUACUGGAUUAGGUUUUAAGUCACACAGUGCUUUGGACCGGAUGCAAGGAGAUGGCGUCCGUAGAUAUGGUCAGUCCCCCUCUAAUGUUCAUAUCCAGCACCAGAAUGCGUGUAACUGUGGUGCCCCUCCUUGUGCCUCAGAAGUCCAGAAAUACCUGACAGCUGCCUUACACUCAACAAAUAGAACUCUGACAUCCACCACAGGAUUUAAUCAUUCUCAAUCUCACGGAACACAAAGUGCCAAUUCUCAUCAAACACCCAGUACACCCCACACCCCGAAUGGACACAUUUGUACAAAGCACAACCAUCACCAUCAUGUGGAGAGAAAUAGCCAAGCUUAUAAGUACAAACUGUCUCCAGACUGUCAGACAAUGUGGUCAAGUCGAACCGACUCUCAGAACUCGGAGCGACUUGAUCAGCCCUCUCCUCGUAUGCAGUCGGCUAAAGUAUACACAUCUGGAAAAGUCCCUACCAAAGUGUCUGUUCCUGCUGCCCCUCCCAAUGGUCAAGUGAAGCGCCCCCCUAUAUCUGUCGCCUGGCGAUUGCCGAGUCGGCAGAACAACCCUAACAAACCGGUAGAGACAGUGGCGCCCCCUGCCAAUGGAGUUCGUACAUUAGAUACCCUGGCAUGUGUCGCCACAGACAAACAGAUGUGGUUUGACGCCAGCGGUAGGGCCUAUGUCAGCUUGGCGGCCCGUUAUGACCCCCUCAGAAAGUAGACUUUCAUUUUAAGGAGGAAGUCCCCGCGUCCAGUGAAUUAACAUGGUGUGAGAAACUGGAGUUACUUAGAGCGGUCAACAAGCCAAAAGAGAAACCGAGAGUGAAAAUGCCCAGACUAAAAUACAUAAAAGACAUGGUGGAACCCAUUCCUGAAACAAGGGAGCCGGGCCGAGCUCAUUUGUAUGAACAGAGAAGGAUCAAACAUUUAUUGCAACAAGUUCGCAUGAAAGGAAAGGAGCAACUUGAUUGGCUGAAAGACCGCGAGAAUCUAAUAUGGCAGUCGGCGGAAGGAUCUAGCUCCGGAAGUAGUGACGACUUUUCUGACGAGGAAAGAUUUUCCAGCCGCCGGAAAGAGAAGGGCCUGACUCACGAAGAUGGAUAUAUCCUUAAUAGAUACCAAGUAAAAUCAGUCGUCAGAGGUGUGAAGACCAUCUCUGCCCUUCAAAGAACAAAUACUGAGAUUUUUAAGGACUGAAGAGAUUUUACGACUUUCAUAGGCCGUCCAGAUUUCAAUGUCAGGGAUUUUAUAUUGCAUUGAACGGUGCUGCUAACAUUAACGACAAUCUAGUCUUUUUUGUCAUGUGUUGAAUAAAUGUCAUGUUUUUAAUAAAUAUGAUUUAGAUUUUU
rnacentral:misc_RNA from 1 species